GGGGCUCGAAGACGCACACCUCCCCGUGGUGAGCCCUGUCAACGUCCGCAAGGACGGCCAAGAUGCGCAU
rnacentral:ribozyme from 1 species